rnacentral:rRNA from 1 species
UGGGGAAUAUUGCACAAUGGAGGAAACUCUGAUGCAGCGACGCCGCGUGAGUGAAGAAGUAUUUCGGUAUGUAAAGCUCUAUCAGCAGGGAAGAUAAUGACGGUACCUGACUAAGAAGCUCCGGCUAAAUACGUGCCAGCAGCCGCGGUAAUACGUAUGGAGCAAGCGUUAUCCGGAUUUACUGGGUGUAAAGGGAGUGUAGGUGGCACAGCAAGUCAGAAGUGAAAGCCCGGGGCUCAACCCCGGGACUGCUUUUGAAACUGUUGGGCUGGAGUGCAGGAGAGGUAAGUGGAAUUCCUAGUGUAGCGGUGAAAUGCGUAGAUAUUAGGAGGAACACCAGCGGCGAAGGCGGCUUACUGGACUGUAACUGACACUGAGGCUCGAAAGCGUGGGGAGCAAACAG